CCGGUGAAGUGUUCGGAUC
rnacentral:siRNA from 1 species